UUCAAUGAAGGCUCCGAGAAUUUCGAAUCAGAUCAGGAUGAAGAAAAUUUUGAAGAUGAAAAUAUUAAUGUUGAAAAGCGUUGUCCCAAUCAUGACGUACAGUGCCGACAAGUUUUAUAUGAGGGCUGCGAUUUAACAAAAGAAGAAAGUGUACUUCUAAUAAUGAGUGUAGCCUUACGUCAUCAUUUCACUGAUGCAGCAUUACAAUCUUUCAUCCAAACCAUUGAUUGUCAUCUUCCUCGCACAUGUCACGGUUCGAAAUAUCUAUUUUGUAAAUCUGUACCAAAGCAGACUUAUCAUGUAUAUUA